rnacentral:rRNA from 1 species
AACAGCUCUACUCUUGAACGACAUUGCGAGUUGUUGCGACAAGUGUUUCAGUUGCUAGCCAAGCACCGAUUUUACCUCAAGAUGUCCAAAUGCAAAUUUGCACAGCCAAGGCUCACCUAUUUGGGGCAUGUCAUCAGCGCAGCGGGGGUAUCGACUGACGAUAAGAAUAUUGCAGCCGUCAAGGACUGGCCGACACCCACCAAUGCCAGGGAGGUUCGUGGGUUCCUUGGACUGGCAGGGUACUAUCGACGAUUUGUCCGCAACUUUGGCAUUAUCAGUCGCUCAUUGACCAAUCUGUUGAAAAAAGGGGCUGUCUUUGUAUGGAGUGAGGAAGCAGAAUCAGUGU